rnacentral:rRNA from 1 species
GAUGAACGCUGGCGGCGUGCCUAUUACAUGCAAGUCGAGCGAACAGAUGAGGAGCUUGCUCCUCUGACGUUAGCGGCGGACGGGUGAGUAACACGUGGAUAACCUACCUAUAAGACUGGGAUAACUUCGGGAAACCGGAGCUAAUACCGGAUAAUAUAUUGAACCGCAUGGUUCAAUAGUGAAAGACGGUUUUGCUGUCACUUAUAGAUGGAUCCGCGCCGCAUUAGCUAGUUGGUAAGGUAACGGCUUACCAAGGCAACGAUGCGUAGCCGACCUGAGAGGGUGAUCGGCCACACUGGAACUGAGACACGGUCCAGACUCCUCCGGGAGGCAGCAGUAGGGAAUCUUCCGCAAUGGGCGAAAGCCUGACGGAGCAACGCCGCGUGAGUGAUGAAGGUCUUCGGAUCGUAAAACUCUGUUAUUAGGGAAGAACAAAUGUGUAAGUAACUAUGCACGUCUUGACGGUACCUAAUCAGAAAGCCACGGCUAACUACGUG